rnacentral:rRNA from 1 species
GACGAACGCUGGCGGCGUGCCUAAUACAUGCAAGUCGAACGCACAGUUUAUACCGUAGCUUGCUACACCAUAGACUGUGAGUUGCGAACGGGUGAGUAACGCGUAGGUAACCUGCCUGGUAGCGGGGGAUAACUAUUGGAAACGAUAGCUAAUACCGCAUCAUAUUGAUUAUUGCAUGAUACUUGAUUGAAAGAUGCUAUUGCAUCACUACCAGAUGGACCUGCGUUGUAUUAGCUAGUAGGUGAGGUAACGGCUCACCUAGGCGACGAUACAUAGCCGACCGGAGAGGGAGAUCGGCCACACUGGGACUGAGACACGGCCCAGACUCCUACGGGAGGCAGCAGUAGGGAAUCAUCGGAAAUGGACGAAAGUCUGACCGAGCAACGCCGCGGGAGGGAAGAAGGGUUUCGGAUCGUAAAGCUCUGUUGUAAGAGAAGAACGGGUGUGAGAGUGGAAAGUUCACACUGUGACGGUAUCUUACCAGAAAGGGACGGCUAACUACGUG